GACGAACGCUGGCGGCGUGCUUAACACAUGCAAGUCGAACGGAAAGGCCCUGCUUUUGUGGGGUGCUCGAGUGGCGAACGGGUGAGUAACACGUGAGUAACCUGCCCUUGACUUUGGGAUAACUUCAGGAAACUGGGGCUAAUACCGGAUAGGAGCUCCUGCUGCAUGGUGGGGGUUGGAAAGUUUCGGCGGUUGGGGAUGGACUCGCGGCUUAUCAGCUUGUUGGUGGGGUAGUGGCUUACCAAGGCUUUGACGGGUAGCCGGCCUGAGAGGGUGACCGGCCACAUUGGGACUGAGAUACGGCCCAGACUCCUACGGGAGGCAGCAGUGGGGAAUAUUGCACAAUGGGCGGGAGCCUGACGCAGCAACGCCGCGUGCGGGAUGACGGCCUUCGGGUUGUAAACCGCUUUCGCCUGUGACGAAGCGUGAGUGACGGUAAUGGGUAAAGAAGCACCGGCUAACUACGUG
rnacentral:rRNA from 1 species